rnacentral:lncRNA from 1 species
AGGCAGGUUUGGUCCGAAUGACUACCCGUAGACCACGUGACUGUUGUUGUCACACGCCGCGCCGCUGCUGCACGCGCAUGCUGGACGCUCCGAAGCUAACGGACAAUAACACGCGCUGUGGAUGUCUGUGGACCUGGAGCCUCGCGGGACACAGUCCACUGUGGGAGACAUGUGCUUCUCCACGGGGGACUCGGCGCUGACGCCGGCGGUGCCGCCUGUAGAAGCAGAAGCUACCGGGAGCUAGCAUUAGCAGCUAUGAGGCUAACUGGAUCCGCCGGGUCCACAAACACCCGCCCGCUAAGGAACGGGUCCACGGCGUGUUGUGUUCGUGCUGGACUCCACAGAACCAGGUUGUGGGAGUGUGGAGAAAACGGCAGGAGACGCGCCGGGGGUCGGUCCAGAGGACCAGCUCUCCAGCCGGGCUCGCGGUGGAACAGCAGAAGACACGAGGACACGAGGAGGACCUCUGACAUCAGGAGGCAGCAGCGGUGGCUGAAGAAAAGCAGAAGGCAGUGCACAGAUGUGACAGAAGGAGCGUCCCAGUCGGGACGUCCAGAGAGCACAGCGGAUGGAUCCGAGGUCACGCCCGUGGAGGAGGAGAGAAGGGGCCAGGAGGAGCACGGCAGAGGUCAGGAGGAGGUGCUGCCAUGGGGAGGUGAAAGCAUAGAGCAGAUGAAGCCAGGCUACUUGUGUGUGUUGUAGAGUCUGGGUCAGAGUGUGUGUUGAGUGUGGAGGUUGUGUGUGUGUGUGUGUGUGUGCUGUGUGCAUGUGUCACUUGAGCGUGCGCUGGUUAGGAAGUGUGUUUGUUAGAGAGCUGUGUAGGCAGUAGCUGUAAUGUGUGUGUUGUGUGUUGUGUGUGUUAGCAGCCAGUGAAAGCAUGAGUGUGUGUGUGAUUGUGUAGGCGACAUGUUAGUAGUCAGCACCAGCACUACUAGUAAUAGUACUGUGUGUAUGUGUGGGUAAUAAUAAGACUGUACUGUUACUGUAGAAGUUGUGAUGGUGGCAGGAUGAUUGGGACAAGGGUGCAGUGUGCACAGGUUUGAGGUGUGGGCUGUGAGGUUUGUUGUUGUUGUUGAAACAUGUGUACAGUGUAGUGCCUUUACAUGUGGUGUCUGUGUGUAUUAGAAAAUGUAUGUGUGUAGGUUGUUAUGCAUACAUAUAUAUGUGUAUAUAUAUGUGUAUAUAUGUAUGUAUAUAUACACGUAUGAAUGCAUACGUCUAUACACAUGCUCAUGGACUUCAUCAGCCCCUGCUGCUCAUCUUUGCUACUCAUGGACUGAUGAUAUAUAGAUAUCAUUACAAUAUA